rnacentral:rRNA from 1 species
AGUGAACGCUGGCGGUAGGCCUAACACAUGCAAGUCGAACGGCAGCACAGUAAGAGCUUGCUCUUACGGGUGGCGAGUGGCGGACGGGUGAGGAAUACAUCGGAAUCUACUUUUUCGUGGGGGAUAACGUAGGGAAACUCACGCUAAUACCGCAUACGACCUACGGAUGAAAGCAGGGGAUCUUCGGACCUUGCGCGAUUGAAUGAGCCGAUGUCGGAUUAGCUAGUUGGCGGGGUAAAGGCCCACCAAGGCGACGAUCCGUAGCUGGUCUGAGAGGAUGAUCAGCCACACUGGAACUGAGACACGGUCCAGACUCCUACGGGAGGCAGCAGUGGGGAAUAUUGGACAAUGGGCGCAAGCCUGAUCCAGCCAUACCGCGUGGGGGAAGAAGGCCUGCGGGUUGUAAAGCCCUUUUGUUGGGAAAGAAAAGCAGCAGGUUAAUACCCCGCUGUUCUGACGGUACCCAAAGAAUAAGCACCGGCUAACUUCGUG